UCCGGUUUGUCACCGGCAGUCUCCCUAGAGUUCCCGCCAUUACGCGCUGGCAACUAGGGACAAGGGUUGCGCUCGUUGCGGGACUUAACCCAACAUCUCACGACACGAGCUGACGGCAGCCUUGCACCACCUGUGAUCCUGCCCGUGAGGGAAGCCGUGUUUCCACGGCGGUCAGGAACAUGUCAAACCCAGGUAAGGUUCUUCGCGUUGCCUCGAAUUAAGCAACAUGCUCCGCCGCUUGUGCGGGCCCCCGUCAAUUCCUUUGAGUUUUAGCCUUGCGGCCGUACUCCCCAGGCGGGGCACUUAAUGCGUUAGCUACGGCACGGAGCCCGUCGAUCGAGCCCCACACCUAGUGCCCAACGUUUACGGCGUGGACUAC
rnacentral:misc_RNA from 1 species